GCUGGCAGCUAGCUCUCUGCAACUCUCACCCAGUGAAGCUAAGCAGGGCUGAGCCUGGUCAGUACCUGGGUGGGAGACCACAUGGGAAAGCUAGGUUGCUGCCGGAA
rnacentral:rRNA from 1 species